UUAGAGAGUGUUCCUUAACUUGGGCAACACAAUACAGAAAAGAAAAAUAACUUUCCUAACGCAUCUCGCUAUACUGGUCCUUACUACUCACAGGCUGCGGCCUUCCCAAACCUCCAGCAGCUCAUCCAGCUGCUUUCUCAGGGCCCUCCUGGGACAGACUGACUAGCAGAACAGAACACCUCCGCUCCAGGAGGUGGUUGUGUGUAUAGUUCCCACCCAGCCCUCUGGAUUGAUGCUUCUGCUUUGAAUUUCCUGGAAUUUUUACCUUAUUAGGAAAGGCCCGCCCUCCCAGCAGUCGCUCUAGUGAGGCCUAGUCCUCCCUCAUAGCCCGGAAGUGCUUGUUUGCUUCACUACAGUCUGGUGUUUGCUUAUUGACUGAUCGCAUGUUUAGGCCACUUUUCACCCAAGCCAUGCAGUGUACAACAUAACAGAAUAAAUUCAGCAAUGAAAGUACAAAAAGCAAGCACAGUAGAACAGAUUGGUCUAAAAACUCCUAGCCUUAGGCAUGUGAUGGAGCAAACAUGUCCUGACCAGCUCCUGGAAAAUCAGGAGGGAUGAGGUCUCUUGGGGAAAGGAGCUCCAAAUCGUGGCUACUGAGAAGGCUCACCACCACAGCUAUCGUGUUAAGACAAUUUCUUCCUUGGGAUUUCUGUCUGCCUGCUUCAUCUCUUCCUAGAACUCAUAACUCCUCAGCACAGCAAAUCAUGAUGUUGAUGGAACCCAUGUUACCUGCCUGCUAACUGCCUGAAGCGUCGACAUUCUGAUAUCACACACUAGCUCCCAGGAGAGUUCCCCUUGACAAGGCUUUUCCCACCACUAGAAGUCAUCUUCCCUCCCAAGAGGUUCAAGCAGUCAUUGCUCCUGAUCUGAAUGCUGCUGCUGCUGGAUAUUUGCCAGAGAAACAUCUGAUGCAGAGCAGUGCUGCAGUUAAGUGCAGCGGUAUAUUGUGUAAGUGACUGAACUGCUUAAACAUAUAAAUCUCAGAAUAAAAUGCCUUGAUUGAUAAGGUUUUCAGGAAACAUCUGUGCAAAGAUGAGUAAGUUUAUUCAGAGCUCUCCAGGGAGACCAUAAGCUACCCCUUAAAAUGAACUAACAUACAGUGCCAGUCUUGCCAAUGGUGUUAUGUUUGGCACAGUUGCAUCAUAAAUGUGCCUUACCACUGGGGGGCUGUUGCGCAGUGGUCAUUAGAGCUGACAGACUGGUUGGAGGAGGUAUAAAAUUAAAUACUGUAAGACUGCAGAUGUGACUAACAACCUUCUUAAAACAUUUAACCGGCUUUGAGGCAUGGUGAAGAAAGCACGCUGUCAACAGCGCAUCUGUUCCUCGCUGUUUGCUUGUUAAAUAGGAAACACAAUUUGGAGAGCAAUUGCACGGGCAGAGUGGUUGUAUGCUGGCAUAAAAGCAUCAUUCAGAAUAGCAAUAACCCACCAAUCAGCGCAGAAGAACAUCUGCAACUGCAACAUGAGCUUCCUGUUGUGUCUAAAGACAGCUCUGCUUAUGGCAGCGAUUUUCAAACUUUCUACCUUCCGGGAGCCCUUGCCACCUCCGAUUUCCCAAGGAACCCAAGGAUUUCUAGGUGUAUUCUGGAGCACAGUGUCCAUUCAUAUAGGACUAUGGUGAGGCCCAAGAAGGUUAGCACCCUGUGUGAACUUUGUGGAUGCUGUAGAAUAUUCCUGUGUGCUGCAAAGGACUCCGUUCAUGCAAGGUGCUUUUAGCCCUUCUUACUGGGCCUCACUAUGGUCCCAUGUGAGCCACAAGUUCACAUGGGACUGUGAGCAAACUGCAAGUGUGACCUAGAAUGCCCCCAGAAUUACCUGGGCAAGUGUGAUAGUGAUGGGCAAGCUUUUUAAUAUGGAAAGAUGUCCACUAUGCAAUUGCUUUUCUAUGAGGAAGCUCUGGUACAUUUCACUGGUCUAAGGGGCUGGUAUUGUGUUGGCCUAUGGCUUGGAAAGUGUGUAUAAGGGACUUUGUCAUGCAGAGGUGAUACACUAAACAAUAAAUGAAAAGAUGCAAGGGAUUUUUUCCCCUUACAUUAAACAUUAUGUAUCGUUCUCGAUCAGGAUGUUGAAGUGGGCCCCUUGCACUCUUGUGACUGAUUAUUUGAGCUGAUCUUUUGUUCUCAGUGCGACUAAAGCACAAGCUGAAAAGUACCUAAACACUCAUUUUGUCUCAUUUGGGGUCUUUGCCCAGUAGAGGACAUUGUGAGGUUUGAAAGGAUGGAGAACUGAUUUAAACUAGAGAUUGUCCAGCAUUGCUCUGGUCAUAGAUUUGGUCACUGCUAUACAAUACACAAUAAUGGCCAAACUACAUCAGUCAUGAAUAGUGCAGAGAAGCUUGAAUCUAUAAAUAAUCAGAGAGGGAACCACUGAUUAAUGGCAGCUCUUUAAGCUAAUUAAGUGGCCGUUUCACUGACUCAAGUUGCUCUUCAACCUUUUUGGCUGGCCAGGCACAGAAAGUGGGGUGUGUGUGUGUAUGUUAGGAUAACUCUAGAAAUAACACAAGGCAGGGUGAAAACAAGUUGUUUGAGCUGAUCCACAACUUCAGUGGAUCACUGACGUAUCUGCAGAAGUAUGUUGGUGUGUUCCCAACUCUGGCCUUAGAUUAACACUACCUAGGGUCAUUUUCACAUGUCUCCCCAAGGAUUUCAGAGGGAUAGUGGGAUAACAUUCGACAUAGUUCAACAUAUAGAAUUGGUGCAUAUCUCAGAUGUACAGCCGGUAUUACAUCCUGACACAGGGAGAAAGAUAACACACACUCAUUCUAAAAUUGCACCAUAGCUAUUAUGCAUGCUAUUGCUAUGGGACUGGAAGCCCUGAAGAUAUUGCAAUGUAGGGUUCCCUAAAAUCUUCAGCUUCUUCCUGUUGCCUCUCUACCUGAACAGUGUGGUGCAAGUGUUUUUCUUUUGCGCCGAUUACAUGGGCCCAAGGCAAUCUCUGGUCCUGCUCAAUGUGAAUGAUAACCCUUCAAUUUCAUUGCAUAGUGGACUGCUGUCAUAGGAUCAGGCUAUUUGAGAGUUAAUAGUUAAUAGAAUCUUUCUUCUUUAGAAAAGCAAAGUAAAGUCUUGUUUCCCAAGUUUCGCAAUGAAGCCUGCUUCUCAAACAUGUUUGGUGAUUAAUUUUUAAUCCUCAGCUGAUAAAGUCCUGCACACACAAUAAUGUUAACAUUAAGAUCCUACUCAUUUUAAGCCAUUAAUCUGAAGCUUCUCAUUUGUACUAGCAGGCUUUUUGUGUCUAUGAAAAGAACAGUGAACAAUAGCCAAAAAGUCUGCCUAAACAAGGCAGAUAUUGAAAAGGACAAUACCCAAAUGAAGAAAAAAAAUCUUGUAUUUGUAUACUUAUUUAUUAAAGGAAUGCAUGUGAGGGUUUUUUUUGUUGUAACGUACUAAAGAAGGCACUUUGGUAUUAGCAUUCAAUCUUAAAAAAAGCAAAUUCAUUCUAGCCACAAAAAGGCAUUAGUUCUGUUGCAUAAAAGCAAAUAUUUGUUUUUUACUUUGUGUAUAUUAAGAGGCUUUAAAAAGCAAUUGUAAGACUUAUGGCUUUUCAUAGUUUGGAUCAGAUGAGAAAGUGAUAAAAGAAGCCAUUUUUAUUAAUAAUUUACAAUGGAGUGUUAUUUAUAGCCUGCCCAGUAAGCAGGCAUAGUGAAGGUCCACAACAAUAAACAAAUCAUUAGAAGCCA